AUUGAACGCUGGCGGCAGGCUUAACACAUGCAAGUCGAGCGGAGAGAGGUAGCUUGCUACUGUUCUUAGCGGCGGACGGGUGAGUAAUGCUUAGGAAUCUGCCUAUUAGUGGGGGACAACAUUUCGAAAGGAAUGCUAAUACCGCAUACGUCCUACGGGAGAAAGCAGGGGAUCUUCGGACCUUGCGCUAAUAGAUGAGCCUAAGUCGGAUUAGCUAGUUGGUGGGGUAAAGGUCUACCAAGGCGACGAUCUGUAGCGGGUCUGAGAGGAUGAUCCGCCACACUGGGACUGAGACACGGCCCAGACUCCUACGGGAGGCAGCAGUGGGGAAUAUUGGACAAUGGGCGCAAGCCUGAUCCAGCCAUGCCGCGUGUGUGAAGAAGGCCUUAUGGUUGUAAAGCACUUUAAGCGAGGAGGAGGCUACUUUAGUUAAUACCUAGAGAUAGUGGACGUUACUCGCAGAAUAAGCACCGGCUAACUCUGUGCCAGCAGCCGCCGUAACAC
rnacentral:rRNA from 1 species